AAGGGACUGACCUCUGGGUCCCUUCGGUGCUCCGGGCUCGCCCUCCGUCUGACCCCGGCGGCCCAGGUGGAUCGCCCCCAUUGACAUAGAUUCGUUCCAGGGGCCCGGGGUUUGGCUACCCCUCCUCUGUUCCGGGCCAGCUUGGGGAGAGAUAAGCCUCCUAGAAGCCUUUGUUCUAGCUCCCAGCUGGGUAAACCGGCAGCGGCCUCAGUUAUUGCCACCUUUGCCGUCCUCCCUCCCCCUCCCGCGCACACAUACAUUCUGUCCCCGGGUUCCCAGUACCCCCUCCCACACUUCUUCAGUUACCCCCUUCCUCGCCCUCCCCCCACUCUCCAGCUGAGACGACCUCGGAGAGUGCACCCUUUGUCCUUCUCCGUCUCCGGACGGGACAUUUUUUAUAUUCUAGCCUCCGAUGUGGACUCGAGCCCCGAGAUUGUGUUGGCCGUCAGAUAUAUUCUAGGGAUCCUGGAAAGAAAGGAGGAAGCGACAAAGAUCCCUCUAGUGGAAUCCAAAGCUACACUUCCUCGACAAAGACGAAAUAAAACUCACUCAGGUGUGAAAUUCUAUUUAUUCGACUUUUCAUCCACCCUUCCUCAUUCCCCCCCCCCCAAAAAAAGUUGAGUUCUGAGCCACCCUUCUCCCUAUUAUCAGAAUCCUGCUUAUCUUCAAAUAAGAAAUUUAAGCCGAAGGCUUUAAGUUGGGCUAUUCCCGCGUUGAGGGUACAAGGAAGGUCCAAGACUGAACUAAUGUACGUUUCCUUCUUGUAAACAUUUUUAAACUUCACGGUUUACAUUUUGGAUUAGCAACACCUGAAGCAACCAGAGGGGCUUGUGUGUGUUUUCUCUAUAACUCUCCUUUUUUUUCCUUCUUCCUGACCUGGGACAAGGUUCCACAUGCCACGAAUAUUCAUUCAAGCCUUUGUUUUAAAAAGAUCGUAUUGUUUUCAUUUUGAGGGAGAGCUCAGGUUGGUCUCUACCUUCAUGUAUACAGCGGGAGGGGGGGGGGACGGUUUCAGAGAAAUGUUCAUUCAUUCUUGAACCGAUAGAUAAUAGCAAAGAUCUCAGAAGUUAACUUCUGAGAAAACCCAAGAAUAAGCGGGGACUGAAUCAUCUUCUAUUGGA
rnacentral:lncRNA from 1 species